rnacentral:rRNA from 1 species
AACGAACGCUGGCGGCAUGCCUAACACAUGCAAGUCGAACGGGAUCCUAGCUUGCUAGGUGAGAGUGGCGGACGGGUGAGUAACACGUGGGAAUCUGCCUUUUGGUUCGGGAUAACCGCGGGAAACUGCGGCUAAUACCGAAUGCCCUCGAGAGAGGAAAGAUUUAUCGCCAGAAGAGGAGCCCGCGUCCGAUUAGGUAGUUGGUGGGGGUAAAAGGCCUACCAAGCCGACGAUCGGUAGCUGGUCUGAGAGGAUGAUCAGCCACACUGGGACUGAGAUACGGCCCAGACUCCUACGGGAGCAGCAGUGGGGAAUAUUGGACAAUGGGGGCAACCCUGAUCCAGCAAUGCCGCGUGAGUGAUGAAGGCCUUAGGG